GAUGGACGCUAGCGGCAGGCUUAAUACAUGCAAGUCGAGGGACAGCACAGGUAGCAAUACUGGGUGGUAACCGGCAAACGGGUGCGGAACACGUACACAACCUUCCUUUAAGUGGGGGAUAGCCCAGAGAAAUUUGGAUUAAUACCCCGUAAUAUAGUUGAAUGGCAUCAUUUGAUUAUUAUAGCUACGGCGCUUAAUGAUGGGUGUGCGGCUGAUUAGAUAGUUGGCGGGGUAACGGCCCACCAAGUCUACGAUCAGUAGCUGAUGUGAGAGCAUGCUCAGCCACAAGGGGACUGAGACACGGGCCCGACUCCUACGGGAGGCAGCAGUAAGGAAUAUUGGUCAAUGGACGCAAGUCUGAACCAGCCAUGCCGCGUGAAGGAUUAAGGUCCUCUGGAUUGUAAACUUCUUUUAUUUGGGACGAAAAAGGGCCUUUCUAGGUCAACUGACGGUACCAGAUGAUUAAGCACCGGCUAACUCCGUGCCAGCCGCCGCCGUAAAAC
rnacentral:rRNA from 1 species